AAAAAGAAGGAGGAGCAAGCACUCCAGGAGGAAACAGCCCAUGAGAGGAUCACCCCAAAAAGGAAGUAGGCAAUCCAGUUCUGACCUGCUCCAAGUCGUGGCUGGCCACAGAAAGCCUGAGAAAGUGCCUUCGGCUUUGGUCUCCAGUCACAGCUUUAUUAAGCUGAACCAUGUGCUGUCUCCCAAAGGCAGAGAGCAGUUUCCAUCCUGUGUACUCCGUCGUUGAGCAAGAAGGAUGUGAAAGGACCCACGAGGCAGCUUAACGUGGGCACUGACAGAGGUAGCAUCCUGGCACUACAGCUCAGCUCUUGGCUCCUCCCAAGAGCCCCAGGGUGUGGUAAGAGAAAAGGUCAUGAGCAAACAUCUCAAGGCACAGCUGCUUCUGGACUAAGGGCUUUGAAUUCCGGUGCCGCAGACCAUGUGGUGAGUUUAUUUACAACCUCCGGCAGUGAGAGAUGACUGGAAAAAUCGGACCAGGGACUACAGCACCUCCUGGAUCUAAGCAUAGUGCUCCAGAUACGAAGAAAGGAAACUCGAUGAGACGUCUCAUUUCACCCCUACCAUCCACCCGGAACAGGGAAAAGAUUCCCAUCUCACAGGUCAAGACUCAAGGUCAGGAUUGAGAAGACAGCUGGGCUGGUCUACCUGCUCCCCCCAACACACACACCCCGCCUUGGCCAGUGCUGAGGUAUUGGGGAGACCAGUUUUUGUGGCGCGGUUAUCGGCAAGGACAAGCUGGCUCCGAGGAACUGAACAAACGCCAGUCCGGUCCUAGGCAGCUAGCUAAGUAGGGAAGCGAAGCGCCUCCCGGACGGCUUGGCAACCCAAACUCUUUAGCCAUAAAGUGGCUGCACCACAAGCUUCCUGGAUGGAAGGACACGUGGCCCACGACCCAGAACCCCGCAACCGUUGCAGGUUUCUGGUCACCAGGCUUCUUCUCGGACCCAGCAGGUCAGUCCACUUGCUGAUCAAUACCUGCUUCCUUGAGCUCACCUGCCUCCUGCCCAGCUCUCCCAGAUCCGCCCAAACGGCUCCUCGACCUUGCCCCCAGUGCCGCACUGAGCCUACAGUCCUGGCGCCCAGGUCCCCACGCCCUCUCCCCCGCGCGCGGUGGCCCGCACUAACCCC